rnacentral:misc_RNA from 1 species
UACGGAGGGUGCAAGCGUUGUUCGGAAUUACUGGGCGUAAAGCGCGUGUAGGCGGCGACGUAAGUCGGAUGUGAAAGCCCUCGGCUUAACCGAGGAAGUGCAUCCGAUACUGCGUUGCUUGAGUACUGGAGGGGGUGGCGGAAUUCCCGGUGUAGAGGUGAAAUUCGUAGAUAUCGGGAGGAACACCUGUGGCGAAGGCGGCCACCUGGACAGUAACUGACGCUGAGACGCGAAAGCGUGGGUAGCAAACAGG